CAAGAAAUAAACAAACACUUGCUCAAGAGAAACAAGAAAAGAGAAGCUAACAAAAAAAAGAUGGCACAUUUUAGCUACAAACUUUUAGUCUGGAGUCAUGUGAAAACAAUCAAGGAAGUAGCAAAGGACCCAAACUCUCUAUCUGAUGCUCUGUUUCAGAAUGGCAUCAUAUCACGGAAUAUACGAGAUGAAAUUCAACUAGACAGUAUAGGAGACACACAAAAGGCAAGAAAACUGGCCAUUUGCUUGGAGGACAUAAUCAAGGCCUAUCCACAUCGAUAUAAGGAGAUCAUAGAGAUUCUGAGAGAAGACUUUGGGGACCUGGUAGUUGCGUUAAAGAACAAAGAAGCAGAGAUACUAGCAGGAGACUUGUCUGAAACACCAAGUCAAAUAACCAUAACUCUAAUGAAUCAGAACAAGACGAUGAUUUAUGCAUAAGACUAGAAUGUGGAUGCGAACAUUGUGAGACGAUUUCAUGCAAGGACAAGAUUGUCUCCGCACAGGUUCAACACAACUCAGCCUGUUCAAGGAUGAAUCAGAAAGGAGAGGCAAAACAGAAAUGACAUAUUCUGCAUACAAAGUUGCACUGCAGUGUCGAGCUGCUCACAUGCAUGCCAGUUAUAUAAGCUUAAUCUCAAACACGGUAAAUGAGCUAAAGAAAAAACAUGCCCUACCAGUUAUUGUCAACUGUUUGAAAGCUCUUUUGAAGCCACAAGGCGCUAAAAAGCCGUUAUACAGCCGCAUAUAUACUGGACAUCCAAGGAAGAGACUUAGAGAUGUACAAACAUAUAAAGGGCUCGAGAAAUACCUAGACACAGAGCUGUGCUCUUGGUUCAACAUCGAGGUGAUAAAAGGCUUAAGAACGGCACUAUCAAUUCAAGAAACAGACAAAAGUGUAAGAUGCUGCAUCUAUUGUACCAAAGGCAAUCAUCCCAAAAUAGUUUGUAAACUACCAACUGAUUUUAUGAUAGUAAAAGACAAGCAACUAAAAUAAGCAAAAAAUACAAAGCAUCGAUAUGCCUGAGUGCAAGCGAAGGAUGGAUGAAGCUAGUGGAGAGAUAGUGUUUGAAAUCAAGAGGGGCUACAGCAAGAGUCGGAGAGGAGCUGAUUGAGGACACACCAGUGAUGGAGGACACACAACCUAUACCUUUACUGGGUACCUCAAACCACCCACGAUCUAGGUGUACGCAGAAAUCAAAGGUACGUGUACAAUCAAGUUAGUCAGCUUGUUUCUAUAAUAAUGAGUGCCACAAUAAUUAUAUAGCGUGCCUCGGGUAACAAGAUGCUCAUUGAGCAUUCACCCCGUGCGUUAAAGUUACUAUGUGCAUUAUCUUGCAGAAAGAAUGGCCUUGUUACUGUGCGCUUAUCAUGAUCCUAAUCCUGGGGAUUUCCGUGCUGAUCGUUCAGUAUGUACAUCUGUUCAUACUCGUACCUGGCACCAUAGCCUCGAUCCCAGCCCCUCUCACUAGAGGGCCUGGUAACCACCAUUUGCGCAUGGGUGGAUUCAAUAGUAAAUUUGUUAGUAAAACUCUUUAUAAUUUAUCAAUUAACCUUUUGUACUAUGGUCACCCACGUGGUUGAUUAAACUAUUAGUGUCAACAGAGAGAAAUCGCCAUCACAACUCUUGGCUCGUACAAGGAGCACUGAUCUUACUGAGAUGGCAUCAAACAAGCGUCUGGAAGCAAGUAGACUUAAUUGCCAGAGCUGGUAGGUACUG